UUACCCAUGGGGCACAACUUGUUCUUUUGUGAUUUUAAAGUCUUGCCUCCGGAGCAAGAGUUAUAGAUCAUCUGCCAAAUCAUUACAUACUUAAUUAAGGCAAAGUCAACUUUUGCCCAUAGGGCACAACUUUUAUUUGGGUGGACUCUAUGUUAGACAUUAUAAAACUAGACAUCGUAAGUUAGACAUUAUUAAAUUAUGUCGAUACAAACUAAUAAUGUCUACUCUUACCCGCAUGGCACAACUUAUUUUGUUGGGUCUAAGUUUUCCUCUUGCAGAACAUUAGCUAAUUUAAUACAGAUUAAUAGUGUUAACGUUUGCCCAUGAGGCACAAUUUACGAUAUAUUAUUUUAUUAAAAAUCAAUUAUUUUUUAAAUGACAUAAUUUAUUUGCACCAAGUUUAAGUUAAAAAUAUAUUUUUGUAUCAAAAAAAAUUAAAAAUACGUUUACUCUCUACACAAAGUUAAAGUCAAGAUAAAUUUCAUCUCAAAGCUCGAAAGCGUCGGAUUAAUAUAGUACAUUUUGUACCAAAAAAUAAAGUUAGAAAUAUAUUUACCCUUUGCAAAGCUUGAGCUUUGAAUUUAUGACAAAUUUCAUAAAGCUACAAAAAAUUUCAUUUCAAAGCUUGAGCUUCGGAUUUACGAUAAAUUUCUUAAAGCUACAACAAAAAUUCAUCUCAAAGCUUGAGCUUCGAAUUUACGACAUAUUUCACAAAACUACAAAAAUAUUUCAUCUCAAAACUUGAGCUUCGGAUUUACGACACAUUUCAUAAAGCUACAAAAUAUUUUUAUUUGGGGUUAAAAUUUGAAAGUCACCCUAAUUUGGGUCUAUUUUUGAGAUUCUCCCUUCACUGUCUUCGUUCAUUAGAAAGUUAAUAAAAUUCGGUGGUUCAGUUCAUACUUCAAAACAACUACUUGUAGUCAACUUCUAUCCAUGUUUCGCAAGCUUAUCAGCUACACUGUUGUGUCUCCUUGAUUUAUGCAACAUCAUUGGGCUCCCCAGCUUGAGAAAACAAUCCCUACAAGAGGGGGUUAAGUUAUUGUUAGUUUGUGUGAGUGAAUCCAAAGAGUUGAUUACCUCUAGGAAAUCCGUGGCAAUUUCUAGAUAAGAGACCUGCACAUUAGUAGCAAUAAUAAGGCCAAAGUUUAGACUGGUGCAUUCGGCUUCUAGAGGUGAAUGGACAUUAAUUCUAGCGCUCUAACCAUUCACCCAAAAUCCAAGUGAGUCACGAAAGACCCCCCUGCACCCCCAACCUUGGUUAAGUGAUUGUAUGAACCAUCAAAAUUUAGUUUUAGGCCUUUAUCAGGGGGUUUUCAAGUUGUGUGAGGUUUUGGGACUACAUGAGAAGGGUUCGUAGCCAGGAAGAUGAAUUUCGCAGCUCGUGCAAACGGGGUGGAAAGAGGGAUAUUAAUUUUUGAGUUAUUGUAAAGGUUAUGGUUUCUAAUGAGCCAUAUAUUACACAUAUAAAAGGGAAAGACGUCUUUCCAGGCUAUUAAAUUAUUUACUGGAGGUGCAUGGAUUUUGCUACACAUUCGUAACUAGUCUGCGCGGUCAGAGGUCGCGAUUGACUGGAUAUGCGGGAGAAGGUGCAUUUGAUUUCAAAAAUUUUAAACACUGGUACAUUAAAGAAAGAUAUGUUGCAUGGUUUCAGGCGUAUUGCAUAGAGCUCAGUUAGACCAGGCGUAUUCCAGACUGGUCAAUACUUAACACAAAAAAAUUUUGUGAAACAUACCGAUGAGCAAGUAUCUCUGGUACAUUCAACAUUAAUUGACACUGCCCCAUUAUUUCAUUAUAGCACUAAUUCAAACAAUUUUACUGAAUUAUUGAUUCUAAUUUACAAACUAACAAAUCUCCUGGAGAAAGAAAUACAUAAUUUAGAUCAACAUUGAUUACAUGUCAUUACACGUCGAUUGAAUGAUGAUCAAUCUUUAAAGGAACUUUAUUUUUCUAUGUUCAGAAAUCCUAUAGUAUUAAAGAUGGUGAAAAUAUUAAAAUCAUUUCACACGUUGAAGUGAAUUGGGGUUAGUCAAAUCAAGAUGUCUCUACCUUAAUCUCUAAUGUUGAGCCAUUGUCUGUUAAGCAACUGAUCCUGUCAAGAUGAAACACAGAGAAUAAUAAGAACUACACGAAAUUAAAUGACUAAUCAGAAAGAUCUGAUGUUACUGAUACAUGGCAAACUUGAGCGUUCAUGACAGCUAAAAGUGGCAAAGAUCAAAACUUUUUCAAUAGAUUAGACUACUGGAGUUUCGAAACAACAAAAAAACUAGGAUAUACUUACGAAUUACCCCAAUUGGAGUAUCAAAAACAUUGUUAUUAUUGAUUUGAAUGUGGCUCGCUUCCAGGCAGAAGUCGCGGAAAAAGUAAAGCUCAAGUCCAACUGGAUGACUAUUGGUUUCUUAAAAAAAUAUAUCCAUAAUAUAAACAACAUAUCGUAUAAUGAAAUCUUACCAUUGGAUCUUGCCUCCUUGCAGCUAAUGGCUACUUUUUGAAAAAAUUCCUUGCUAACGUCUGUAAUAUAGCAGUAAAAAGCAAUGAGCAAUUAACUUCCAAGCAAAGGGAAUGGCAAAGCCAAUAAGUUUACUACUGGUAGCUCAUGAAAUCAAAUAGUUAUACGGUAAAAUUUAUAUUUUUUUGAAAAUCGCUGUAAACUACAAAGGAAUGUGAAAUUUUCAGUAUAACAGUCCGUAUGAGCCACCAGGAUAUUAGACUGGUGAGAAUUUACUGGUCUAAUAUGUCAACUUACUUAUACAAAAAAAUUAGAAACAAUUCUAGGAAAAAAUUCUUCUCAUAAUGACUUUUACUUCAACAUUACUAAACAUCGUCAUAAUUUGAUGUUGUAAAGCCAUUACCUUUUGUUUUCUUUUCUCUUUCAAUCGUAUUCCACCUUUAUGUUUAUGUUUAAAAUAUUCAUCAAGGAUCCCAUUUGUUUUAAUUCAUGGCAUCUUCUGGCUUCCUCACGUUUUGACAUUUUUUCUGCGUCUUUAUAGUUAAAAUGAUAACAUCAAUCUGUUCAAUAACUACUCUGGAGCAUUCCUACGUCCCUCAUAUUUCCAAACUUAUAUUAAACCGCUCACUUAAAACCAAAACGAUUUCUAACCGAAUAUUUCACUACUUUUCUAGGGAAGGGGUCAAAUGUUUAAUCUCUUUUCUCCCCCUUAUUGUUCUCCAUAUUCAUGUGGACAAGCAUAUGUAAUUUAAACAAAACAACUCCGAUCAGAUAUUCCAAGAAAACAUUUUUCAGAGUCAGAAUCCUCCCUUUUAGAAUCCUUCAAGAUCCAAAAUAGCCUAAUAAAGAUCAAUUCUAUUGUUUCUUCUCAUUCCUUGAGUAAAUACAAAAAGUUAACUACUGCAAGAGAGUUCGGCAUUUCUUUUUUCCCUUUCUUCACAAACAAAUCAGUUUCUACUUCGAUAUUUAUGCAUAUGUAGCAUUAUAUCAUAACAAAACUAAAUGCAAUAGAACUAGUUUCGAGAGACAAGACUAUACUGCUACUAAAGCAAAACAUACCAUGCUUCAUAUUUAAAGAUGGAUUUUGAUCAUCUAUAUAACCAACCAUCUUUGCUGGUAUUCCUAUCACCAUACUGUAAAACCAAAAGAAAGGCACAUCACAACCAGUAUUCGAUGCAGUAUUAAAACUCCUUUACAGAUAAACCAGAAGUUUAAAAUAUAUAGUACUCAACCUGUGAAGAGGAACAUCCUUCAUUACAAGAGAAUUUGCACCAACCAUUGCACCCUCCCCUACUUUUAUAUUUCCAAGUAUAGUUACACUAGCUCCAAUAAGUGCACCUUGACCUAUUUUGGGAUGUCUAUCACCAGUUUCUUUCCCAAUUCCUACUAAGGUUAUACCCUGCACAAAAUAUAUUUAGGUGGAUAAGAAAUUCAGAUUAUCUUCAAGGAUUGAGGGAGUACAUAUGAACUUCCAUAUGAGAGUUAAGUUGCCCAGCUUAUAUAACACAGAAUGAAAAUAGUCUAGGUGAUGGAAUGAAUUAUUUAGAUAAUAGAUGCAUAAUGUUUCCUUCUCCUUUCACAUAGAAGGAUCCCACUAGUUACCACCUCUGUACAUCGCUAGAGUUCACUACACAAAAACUAUACUAUUGUCCUUCGGUGCAGAACUUUGUGACAGGCUUCCCAUCGUGCCCACGAUAACAUUUUCUUUUGGGUGGGUGUAUAAACUGAUUCUUAUAUAUGCAGUUUGGCAUGAGAGAAAUGCAAGACUGUCCAACAAACUGAGACAACUAGAGAAGUUUGCAAGCAAGGUAGCUUUGUAGUUUGCGUUCAAGCUAUAGAAACAAUCAAACUUAUUUUUGUACCACCUUGUCCUUAUACAUUUGGCCUUCCCAAAAAAUAUUGCGAUCAAUGUUAACUCCCAUAUUAACAGCCUUUCUGUCCAAGAGCAAACUCCCGCAACUACUCAAAUAUAAUUAUAAUCGCAAUAACAAACUCCCCAUAACCUAUUCGAUAUAAUUCCUCAUUAUCUUCUAACAAUUUCUCAUCAUCUUCUAAUGCUAAUUAUACCACUAGUUUGAAAUACUUAGAACUAAUUUCUUGUACCACCUUGACUUUAUACGUUUGGCCUUACCAAAAAAAUAUUGCGAUCAACGUUAAAUCUCAUAUUAACGGCCUUUCCCUCCAAGACCACCCCCCAUCCCCGCAACUAUUCAAACAAAAUUAUAACCGCAAUAACAAACUCCCCAAAACCUAUUUGGCACAAUUCCUCAAUGAAAAAUAUGUUACUACAACAACAACAUAGCCCAACUUCAACUUGCGUUCACCUCCCCAAAAAUCAAAUCAAUAUGUUAAUUAUAUAACGAGCUAAAAUUUACUGUAAUGCAUCAAUAAGCUAAAAUUAUCACAAUGAAUUUUGAUGAUGAAAUUCAUACCUGAAGAAAUCUUACGACUAAAGUCGAUUCUGCGAAUUUGGAAGAAAAAACGGAAGAAAGAGAUUUAACAAUGAAUAUAUUGGAGUAGGGGUAAUUUCUUCUAAAAAAUAUCAGUUAACAAGUUAAGGUUAUUUUAACAAAACCUUUUUAUUUGGGGCUAAAAUUUAAAAUUCACCCUAAUUUGGAUCUAUUUUUGAGAAUAAUCCUAUACCAUCAGAUAACCUCAGCCCACACCACCAGCCAAGCAACACAACCCAGCCUAAUACCUCGCGACCCGGCCCAAUAACCCUUUUCCCUUACCCCAUUUAACAACGGCAAAACUCCAACAGAGCACCAACAAACGCUACAACAGCGUACAACUUCAACGUAUACCGACAGCAACAUCACCAACCCGUAACAACGUUAACAAUCAACAACAGCCACAACGGCGAAAACGCUAACAGCGUUCAACGCCAAUCACCAGUCAACUAGCCGUUCCUCCUCAAUUUACCGAUUUACCCUCCUCAUACAGCCAUUUAUGGCUAAAAAUCAAAAGGCUUCAAUGGUUUUCAGUCUAGGGUUCAUCACUUCGGGUAAUAAUUAAUGCCCAACGUUCCUUUUUUUGUCCCACAGUGAACUUCAAAUUUUUAUAAGAAAUCACUCAAAUUGAGUUUGAAAUCCGAACCCUAAUCCUUUCUCCUAUAAAUAGAGGUUGAGGGAUAGAGGAAAGGGGAGAAUUUUUUGGGGAAAAACUUGGAGGUUGGAGAGGCGCAUGCUUCUAACCUAACGCAACCAAAAAUUCUCGAAAAAUUGAGUUCCGGCGAAAUCGAGUGUGAUUCCGAUGGUGGAAACUUAUCGUGAUAGGCUCGUCACCCUAGUUCGCUGCCCGAAAAAAGUGGACUCUAUCCCUUAUGCAUUUCCGCAAUGGGCCAAGAAGGCCCAUGUCAUUUCGAGUCCAAGCCUCAACCAAAGUCCCGAAAAUGGGCUGAGAGAUAUGAAACAAGGCUGUAUACAUGUGUAUACAGUAGAUAUAUGGUGAAUAUGAGAAAAAAGAAGCUUAUUAUACAGUUGAAGGACUAAAAUACGUGUAUAUAUGACCAAUAUAUGGUCAUGUAUACCCCAAAUAUACAGGAAAACGCAGGGGAAAGAGCUGUGAUAUACAGCUGGUAUACAGUUCAGAAAAAUGGACCCAAAGUCCAUAAUUUUAAGCCCAAAAAAUGGGCAGCUUUGUUGGUGGGCCAAUUAAGGUCCAAUUUCAAUUCUUAUAGUGUAAACAACAUAAAUCCCCUAGUUAAUGAAACUAAUUACUCAAAA